UACGGAGGGGGCGAGCGUUAUUCGGAAUUAUUGGGCGUAAAGAGCGUGUAGGCGGCUAUUUAAGUCCUGCGUGAAAUCCUGCGGCUCAACCGCAGACGGUCGUGGGAAACUGGAUGGCUAGAGUGCGGGAGAGGAGAGUGGAAUUCCCGGUGUAGCGGUGAAAUGCGCAGAUAUCGGGAAGAACACCCGUGGCGAAGGCGGCUCUCUGGAACGCAACUGACGCUGAGACGCGAAAGCGUGGGGAGCAAACAGG
rnacentral:rRNA from 1 species